rnacentral:rRNA from 1 species
UACGAGAGGCCCAAACGUUAUUCGGAUUUACUGGGCUUAAAGAGUUCGUAGGCGGCGCGGAAAGUAGGGUGUGAAAGCCCUCGGCUCAACCGAGGAAUUGCGCUCUAAACUACCGUGCUCGAGGAAGCUAGAGGUGAGCGGAACUGAUGGUGGAGCGGUGAAAUGCGUUGAUAUCAUCAGGAACACCGGAGGCGAAGGCGGCUCACUGGGGCUUUUCUGACGCUGAGGAACGAAAGCCAGGGGAGCGGACGGG